UCGGAUUCUUCUUGUUAGAAAGUCUCGUGCAUAUGAGACAACAAAUAUAUUCUUCAGUGCUAAGGUGAUUAAAUUUUUUUAUCACCUCUUACAAUAGUUGUCAUUCUCUUGAUAUUUUCUAACUUAAAGGGUUAUGUUUUAUAUUCGGGAUUUUCGUUAUACAACAUGUUUCGUGAAGAUUAUAGAACAAGAGAUGAAAAAUCAGUCAGCCUCUGUAAGAUUCUUACCAUAUUUUUUCUUGGCAUUGAUUUUGUAGUGUUUUAUAUAUUAUUUGUAUGUUGUGUAAGGAUCCUGUUUUGCUCUGCACAUAAUGUUUGCUAACAAAAUUCUUUGAAUUCUAGAGAGUGGAUCCUUAUUCUGAAAAGAACAAAGGUCCUUGCCAAGAACAAAUGAGAGACGAUUUUGCAGCAACAGCAUAUGAGAAGUCAGGUAAAGUAAAGUUUCCUCUAUUCUCAUGUGUAUAUGCUCAAUUCUCAUGUAUUCUUCCUAAAGUUUCCUCUAUUCUCAUUUGAUGAGCCUAGGUGGCUUGGCUUGUUUUGGUUCCUCAAACUAUCUAGAAACACACAACUUCACGAAUUACAAAUACAUGCAAUCACCUAAAUUCAAAACACACCGAAAGACAACAAAAUUCAAACAUAAACACGUGAAACUGAAACACGAUACAAAAAAAAAAAACACGUCACAUAGAUAAACUCAAAACACCCUCGAACACAACACAACAUUUUGGUUUAGCAUGCAAAGGGGAAAGACUCCUACGUGAUCCCUUUAGUCCUAAAUGCACCAAUCUACCUCCAUAUGAAAUAAGCCAACC
rnacentral:lncRNA from 1 species